AACGUUCAUGUCCUCGCUGGACAAAUAAAAGAAAAAUGGCAGCUGAAAUUGUGAGAAGGGUCCAGCUGAGGGAAGGAUGGAGCCCUGAGCUGAGGAGAUGCAACAUUUGCCAAACAAAGGGGAGCUGCGCAAAGCUUGUGUCUCAUGUGCAGGGACAGAGGACGGUGGUAAGUCCGUCUAUAUUGUCUAAUAUUUGUUCAUCUCAAUGCUGAAAGGCCUUCAUUUCCCCAUGAGCCUUACAUGUUAUGAAACAUGCUGUUAUUUCUGUCCUGACCAUGGAUAAGUGUGACCAUCACACUGUUCAACUCAUCCCUUUGAACAUCAGACACUCACAAUAAGUAAAGUAAACUAAUGC